CUCAAGUUACUGUAAAGACCGCCCACCCUCAAAUAUAGAGAGCCACCGCGGCCGCUGUGCCUUUUUAUUUUUUUACAUCUUUGAGGCUCGACCGGGUGGAACAGGCUUCAUAACAGCAGCGAUCUUUGCGAUGGCCAGUGUCAAGACGAUUCUGUUUGUAAUAAUAUUUGUUCUUUUCCUUGUAAAGUCUUCGGGAUCUAACGAUUGCCCUGCAAAUCAGGAAAUAUCAUGCGACAGCCUGCGCUCGUCCAAGGGAUUUACAUACACCGUGCCAUCAAACAUCACGUGCUUUAGAAGUUGCAACGAACAAGGAUGGUACUUUCAGAACGGGACGUUUAUUGUAGAUUCAACCCCGAAUGCCGGUGGAAAAAAGUUACAGAUUGUAGUGGAUGUGACGCCUCAGAACCUGACAGUCAGUGCCUGCGAGAAACUGCAAUGGCAACUUAACUGUGGCACGGUAGGAACAAUGAAUUGUAUGUGUACUAUCAAUUUUACAGAUAUGAAACAUUCACCAGCACAUGACCCCCGAGACGAACAAGAUGGCAACAAUAAUGACAACGGUUUUUCUCCGUGGGGGAUUGUUUUAAUUGGGAGUUUUAGUGCUGGUGCAUUUAUCACCCUUUUGUUUUGCUCUGUCAGAAAAAUAAAAAGGGCAAAUUGCUGCAGUGACUCAAAACAAGACGAUGUGAUAUAGUGGUCAAUGCUUUGUGCCUUCAAGCAAAUCAUCCCAGCUUUCUCCAAAGAGACUGACCCUGUAAUACAUGUUCUGUGAGUCACAUUGUAAAAAGCACUAAAAAAAGCAAUAAUCACUAUGUACUGUAAGUUCUUUAUUUCCACUCUUUAUUUCCACUCAUUUAUUUCUUGUAUAAUUUUCACAAAUAUAUUGUUUUAGUAGCUUUUA